CGGAGGUCUGAAACCAGGCCAGGCCGUCUGUUCCCCGUGCCCACACUAUCAUGAGUCCCCCCGAGGCCCUGGGGACAUCAGUGGCCUCCAACACUGGGGAUACUUCGUGGUCACUGCCGGGUAUAUUGAGAGCAGGUAAUUUGGAAGAAAAGGGGAGUAGCUCAAAGCCUUCCAUGUAUUUAAAAAAAAAAAAUAACGAAACGCUCUAUUUACAAUAACGAUGGCAGUUCAGCCCAGAGCAACUGACGUCACGGCUGCAGAAGGGCUCCUCCAGUGACGUCGGCCCGCAAACAGCCCCUCCCUCGCCGCCACAGCCGCAAUCGGCCGCUGCAGAGGAGCAAAUGCGCAUGCCCCGGCGAGCCGCUGUUGCCAGGGAAACCAGCCACCAGUCACAAACAAAUCACCGCCUAACUGCGCAAGUCAAGAAAUGACCCGGCCGUGGCUGUGAGCCAAAAGAGCCCCUUGCACUAAGGGCGGCCCGGGCAGCCUCCCACCCAGUGCCCCCUAUUUUCCUUCCUGAAUCAGUAAAGCCUAGAGGCUAGAGGCCAGAGUCCGAAGUCAUUAGAGAAAAAAGGCUGCGUUGGGAGUGGGGAUGGGGGUGGGGCUGUCAACAGUGGGUGGCAGGUGAUCUUAAUAAUCAAAUAUGUCUGUGAGCAACGUUUAACUCUUCUCCCACUAAGCGUCUGUGUUUCAUGCUGGAGCCUUCCACCUACAGUGAAAAGAGUGGAGAGCCAACUUCAUCUACACUUGGCUUAUUCUGCACCCAUAAAAAUCAAUGAAUGGCCUGAUGAACCAAAUGAAAACAACGAAGCAUAUGAAGAUGAUGGAUAUCCAUCAAAAUACUCAGGUGCAAUGAAAAAUGAAACUGUGAUCAAAGAGAUAAAAACCCAGAGAGAUCAUGAUAUAGCAUAUGCUAUACCAAAAAGAUACAUCAAAUGGAAUCUAGGGAAUAUGGAUUUAUAAGGUUCAAUCCAAAAGUGCCCUGUAAUCCAUUCUCAUAUAUCACUACACUAUGUGAAACAAUAAAUGCAUUAUUUAAUCAGAAAAGUAUGGCUUC
rnacentral:lncRNA from 1 species